rnacentral:rRNA from 1 species
UACAGAGGGUGCGAGCGUUAAUCGGAAUUACUGGGCGUAAAGCGUCCGCAGGUGGCAGUUCAAGUCUGCUGUCAAAGACCGGGGCUUAACUUCGGAAAGGCAGUGGAAACUGAACAGCUAGAGUAUGGUAGGGGCAGAGGGAAUUCCUGGUGUAGCGGUGAAAUGCGUAGAGAUCAGGAAGAACAUCGGUGGCGAAGGCGCUCUGCUGGACCAUAACUGACACUCAGGGACGAAAGCUAGGGGAGAGAAUGGG